rnacentral:rRNA from 1 species
AUUGAACGCUGGCGGAAGGCCUAACACAUGCAAGUCUAACGAGUGGCGGACGGGUGAGUAAUUUCUGGGAAACUGCCUGAUGGAGGGGGAUCACUACUGGAAACGGUAUCUAAUACCGCAUCCCAUCGGAUGUGCCCAGAUGGGAUUAGCUAGUAGGUGGGGUAAAGGCUCACCUAGGCGACGAUCCCUAGCUGGUCUGAGAGGAUGACCAGCCACACUGGAACUGAGAGACGGUCCAGAAUCCGACGGGAGGCAGCAGGGGGGAAUAUGGUAAGACGGGGGCAAGCCGGAGGCAGCCAGGCCGCGUGUAUGAAGAAGGCCUUCGGGUUGUAAAGUACUUUCAGCGGGGAGGCGGUACCCGAAGAAGAAGCACCGGCGAACUCCGGGCUAGCAGCCGCGGUAAUAC